AACGAACGCUGGCGGCAUGCCUAACACAUGCAAGUCGAACGAGACCUUCGGGUCUAGUGGCGCACGGGUGCGUAACGCGUGGGAACCUGCCCUUAGGUUCGGAAUAACUCCCCGAAAGGGGUGCUAAUACCGGAUAAUGUCUUCGGACCAAAGAUUUAUCGCCUUUGGAUGGGCCCGCGUUGGAUUAGCUAGUUGGUAGGGUAAAAGCCUACCAAGGCGACGAUCCAUAGCUGGUCUGAGAGGAUGAUCAGCCACACUGGGACUGAGACACGGCCCAGACUGCUACGGGAGGGAGCGGUGGGGAAUAUUGGACAAUGGGCGAAAGCGUGAUCCAGCAAUGCCGCGUGAGUGAUGAAGGCCUUAGGGUUGUAAAGCUCUUUUACCCGGGAUGAUAAUGACAGUACCAGGAGAAUAAGCGCGGGCUAACUCCGUG
rnacentral:rRNA from 1 species